AGAGUUGAUCAGUGGCGCAGGACGAACGCUGGCGGCGUGCCUAACACAUGCAAGUCGAGCGGGGACAUGCGACGGAGUCGAAGUUUCGGAUGGAGACAAAGAUGUAUUGUUCUAGCGGCGGACGGGUGAGUAACGCGUGAGCAACCUGUCCCUUACAGGGGGAUAACACAGCGAAAGUUGUACUAAUACCGCAUAAGACCACAGAGUGACAUCGCUCAGGGGUCAAAGGAGCAAUCCGGUAAGGGGUGGGCUCGCGUCCGAUUAGAUAGUUGGUGAGGUAACGGCCCACCAAGUCGACGAUCGGUAGCCGACCUGAGAGGGUGAUCGGCCACAUUGGGACUGAGACACGGCCCAAACUCCUACGGGAGGCAGCAGUGGGGAAUAUUGGGCAAUGGGGGGAAACCCUGACCCAGCAACGCCGCGUGAGGGAAGAAGGUUUUCGGAUCGUAAACCUCUGUCCCAGGUGAAGAGGAAGAGACGGUAGCCUGGGAGGAAGCCCCGGCUAACUACGUGCCAGCCGCGGC
rnacentral:rRNA from 1 species